UACGUAGGUGGCAAGCGUUAUCCGGACUUAUUGGGCGUAACGCGCGCGCAGGCGGUUUCUUAAGUCUGAUGUGAAAGCCCACGGCUCAACCGUGGAGGGUCAUUGGAAACUGGGGAACUUGAGUGCAGAAGAGAAAAGCGGAAUUCCACGUGUAGCGGUGAAAUGCGUAGAGAUGUGGAGGAACACCAGUGGCGAAGGCGGCUUUUUGGUCUGUAACUGACGCUGAGGCGCGAAAGCGUGGGGAGCAAACAGG
rnacentral:rRNA from 1 species